rnacentral:lncRNA from 1 species
GGUUCAAAUGAGUCUAUUUGGUUUGGUUCGGUUUUUUCCCCCACCCCUACUUACCUCCAUGUUUUCAGCUCAUUACUCCACUACAUAUUUAAUACUAGAGGGGUACGCGGAAUAUUGUUUUAUUGUUGUUAAAAGUAUGAUUUUUUGGAUAAUGUAACUAUGUGAUCACUUUUAUUUGUUAAAAAUGUUAUUUGGUGUUUUUAUUGUGUUAUGUAGUAGUAAUAAUGAUAUGUUAAUAUAUUUUGUCUUUGUUUUUUCAAUAAUGUGUUUUGUCUGUAUAGUAGUGAAGUGAACCUCUAAUAUAAAAAUAUAUUGAAUUUCAAUAACUUUGCAUUUAUGCAUUUGUUGAUUCUAAGAUUAACGGUUCCAGCGUCAAAAUUGUCUUUUAUUUUUUUCAUAUUUUUGAACAUUAUAACUUUCAAGAUG